CUGUGGAAUUGGUAAGACGAUCGGCACAUGUCCUCGGACAUGGCCCGAUAUGAACCUUCCCGUGCUUUUUAGAACAUAGAUGGCACCAGUCAGGUGACCAUCGAAACGUAAUACGCCGCGUAGACUUCGGUCACGACGGUAUGGCGAGCUUUCGCCGUCCACGUUUCUCUUUCUUCAAAAGGAUAUCGAACCAUGGGUUUGCGCUCGCGCGCUGUUCGCACCUUCGGUGCUGCGCUCCGCGAGGGCGCCGGACGACCGGCGACGGCCUCUGGCCUGUAUGGGCGACCCUUUCCGAGGUUUUGCUUAGGAUUGGCGUCGACGCAGAGAGAUGGGCCCGUAGCUCAGUUGGUUAGAGCACACGCUUGAUAAGCGUGGGGUCGGAAGUUCAAGUCUUCCCGGGCCCACCAUUUGCACCAGCAAAUGAGGUUUGCUGUGGCGAAUUGUGGUUUGUUUGGGUUUACCUGAUCCUGGCGGUUUGCUGUCAGGUGUUUGCGAUGGUUGGGGCUGUAGCUCAGCUGGGAGAGCACCUGCUUUGCAAGCAGGGGGUCAGCGGUUCGAUCCCGCUCAGCUCCACCAAUUCGCUUGGUGUUGAGACUGAGAGAUAUCCUUUGAAGAAAUAAAAGUUUUGCAUCGGCUUAUGGCUGAUGCGUGUUCUGCAUACAUUGUGAAGAGAAGAUUGAUCUGGAGGCUUCCAGGUGUUUUGGGUUCUGCCCAAGGCGUCCGAGCCCAGUUCUGAUGAUCCCAUGGAUGGCCUAGCCGGCCGGAUAUGGGUGAAGGACUGGAGGUAGGUGGGAAGCUUGUCACUCUGGAUUGUUCGUUGUUCGUUGCCUUUGGGCUUCGUCUGAUGAGCGAUCGGAUUACCGUUGCCUGACCGCGCGGUAUCGGAUCAUAUCUCGAGAAGCUGGUCUUAAGACAGGCUGCAAGCGAGCUGCUCGGCGUAGCUCCAAUAAAGCAGACCUGUCGAACACGUCGAUGGCAUCAUGAAAUGAUCCGGUUGUAAAAGGUAACCGGAUUUUUGGACUGGCCGCACGGCAAUCGCAAGGUUGUCGGGAUGGUCGCAAGUCCAAAUAUGGAUGAGCAUUGGCAAUGAGAACGAUUAAGUGUCGUAAGGGCAUUUGGUGGAUGCCUUGGCAUGCACAGGCGAUGAAGGACGUGAUACGCUGCGAAAAGCCGUGGGGA
rnacentral:misc_RNA from 1 species